rnacentral:rRNA from 1 species
CACUGAGAGAUUAUAACUCUUAGCAAUGCCUGCCCAGUGCGAUUAACUUCGUAAACGGCCGCCCUAGCGUGAGGGUGCUAAGGUAGCGAAAUUCCUUGCCUUUUAAUUGUAGGCCUGCAUGAAUGGCUCGACGAGGGUUUAACUGUCUCUAGUCUUAUAUUUUAAAUUGGAUUAAAGGUGAAGAUACCUUUAUAAAAAAGUCAGACAAGAAGACCCCGUGCAACUUUUAAAAUCAGCUUAUUAAGAAAUCUUAGAUUUUUAGGUGGGGCGCCUAUUAAGUAAGUGUAACCUUUUUAACUACAAAAAACUCUCAGGUAUAGACCCGGUAAUUACCGAUCAUAGGAGAAGUUACGCCGGGGAUAACAGGCUAAUUCACUAGUAGAGAACGUAUUGGCUAGUGAGAUUGGCACCUCGAUGUUGAAUCAGGGAUGAUACCUUUAAGGCGUAGAAGCUUUAAAAGUAGGUCUGUUCGACCUUUAAUACCCU